UGGGGAAUUUUGCACAAUGGGGGAAACCCUGAUGCAGCGACGCCGCGUGAUUUAGAAGGCCUUCGGGUUGUAAAAAUCUUUUCUAUGGGAAGAAAAUGACAGUACCAUAGGAAUAAGGACCGGCUAAUUACGUGCCAGCAGCCGCGGUAAUACGUAAGGUCCGAGCGUUGUCCGGAAUCAUUGGGCGUAAAGGGUACGUAGGCGGGUAAGCAAGUUAGAAGUGAAAUCCUAUAGCUCAACUGUAGUAAGCUUUUAAAACUGCUCAUCUUGAGGUAUGGAAGGGAAAGUGGAAAUCCUAGUGUAGCGGUGAAAUGCGCAGAUAUUAGGAGGAAUACCGGUGGCGAAGGCGACUUUCUGGCCAUAGCCUGACGCUGAGGUACGAAAGCGUGGGUAGCAAACAGG
rnacentral:rRNA from 1 species